UAUGGUCAAGUGAAGAAGCGCAUACGGUGGAUGCCUUGGCAGUCAGAGGCGAUGAAAGACGUGGUAGCCUGCGAAAAGCUUCGGGGAGUCGGCAAACAGACUGUGAUCCGGAGGUAUCUGAAUGGGGGAACCCAGCCAUCAUAAGAUGGUUAUCUUGUACUGAAUACAUAGGUGCAAGAGGCGAACCAGGGGAACUGAAACAUCUAAGUACCCUGAGGAAAAGAAAUCAACCGAGAUUCCCUUAGUAGUGGCGAGCGAACGGGGACCAGCCCUUAAGUUGUAUUGAGAUUAGCGGAACACUCUGGAAAGGGUGGCCAUAGUGGGUGAUAGCCCUGUACGCGAAAAUCCCUUUGCAAUGAAAUCGAGUAGGACGGGGCACGAGAAACCUUGUCUGAAUAUGGGGGGACCAUCCUCCAAGGCUAAAUACUACUGACUGACCGAUAGUGAACCAGUACCGUGAGGGAAAGGCGAAAAGAACCGCGGAGAGCGGAGUGAAAUAGAUCCUGAAACCGUAUGCGUACAAGCAGUGGGAGCCCACUUUGUUGGGUGACUGCGUACCUUUUGUAUAAUGGGUCAGCGACUUAUUUUCAGUGGCGAGCUUAACCGAAUAGGGGAGGCGUAGCGAAAGCGAGUCUUAAUAGGGCGUCUAGUCGCUGGGAAUAGACCCGAAACCGGGCGAUCUAUCCAUGGGCAGGUUGAAGGUUGGGUAACACUAACUGGAGGACCGAACCGACUACCGUUGAAAAGUUAGCGGAUGACCUGUGGAUCGGAGUGAAAGGCUAAUCAAGCUCGGAGAUAGCUGGUUCUCCUCGAAAGCUAUUUAGGUAGCGCCUCAUGUAUCACUGUAGGGGGUAGAGCACUGUUUCGGCUAGGGGGUCAUCCCGACUUACCAAACCGAUGCAAACUCCGAAUACCUACAAGUGCCGAGCAUGGGAGACACACGGCGGGUGCUAACGUCCGUCGUGAAAAGGGAAACAACCCAGACCGUCAGCUAAGGUCCCAAAGUCAUGGUUAAGUGGGAAACGAUGUGGGAAGGCUUAGACAGCUAGGAGGUUGGCUUAGAAGCAGCCACCCUUUAAAGAAAGCGUAAUAGCUCACUAGUCGAGUCGGCCUGCGCGGAAGAUGUAACGGGGCUCAAACCAUGCACCGAAGCUACGGGUAUCAUCUUUUGAUGAUGCGGUAGAGGAGCGUUCUGUAAGCCUGUGAAGGUGAGUUGAGAAGCUUGCUGGAGGUAUCAGAAGUGCGAAUGCUGACAUGAGUAACGACAAUGGGUGUGAAAAACACCCACGCCGAAAGACCAAGGUUUCCUGCGCAACGUUAAUCGACGCAGGGUUAGUCGGUCCCUAAGGCGAGGCUGAAAAGCGUAGUCGAUGGAAAACAGGUUAAUAUUCCUGUACUUCUGGUUAUUGCGAUGGAGGGACGGAGAAGGCUAGGCCAGCCUGGCGUUGGUUGUCCAGGUUUAAGGUGGUAGGCUGAGAUCUUAGGUAAAUCCGGGAUCUUAAGGCCGAGAGCUGAUGACGAGUGUUCUUUAGAACACGAAGUGGUUGAUGCCAUGCUUCCAAGAAAAGCUUCUAAGCUUCAGGUAACCAGGAACCGUACCCCAAACCGACACAGGUGGUUGGGUAGAGAAUACCAAGGCGCUUGAGAGAACUCGGGUGAAGGAACUAGGCAAAAUGGCACCGUAACUUCGGGAGAAGGUGCGCCGGUGAGGGUUAAGCAUUUACUGCGUAAGCCCAUGCCGGUCGAAGAUACCAGGCCGCUGCGACUGUUUAUUAAAAACACAGCACUCUGCAAACACGAAAGUGGACGUAUAGGGUGUGACGCCUGCCCGGUGCCGGAAGGUUAAUUGAUGGGGUUAGCGCAAGCGAAGCUCUUGAUCGAAGCCCCGGUAAACGGCGGCCGUAACUAUAACGGUCCUAAGGUAGCGAAAUUCCUUGUCGGGUAAGUUCCGACCUGCACGAAUGGCGUAACGAUGGCGGCGCUGUCUCCACCCGAGACUCAGUGAAAUUGAAAUCGCUGUGAAGAUGCAGUGUAUCCGCGGCUAGACGGAAAGACCCCGUGAACCUUUACUAUAGCUUUGCACUGGACUUUGAAUUUGCUUGUGUAGGAUAGGUGGGAGGCUUUGAAGCGUGGACGCCAGUCUGCGUGGAGCCAACCUUGAAAUACCACCCUGGCAACUUUGAGGUUCUAACUCAGGUCCGUUAUCCGGAUCGAGGACAGUGUAUGGUGGGUAGUUUGACUGGGGCGGUCUCCUCCUAAAGAGUAACGGAGGAGUACGAAGGUGCGCUCAGACCGGUCGGAAAUCGGUCGUAGAGUAUAAAGGCAAAAGCGCGCUUGACUGCGAGACAGACACGUCGAGCAGGUACGAAAGUAGGUCUUAGUGAUCCGGUGGUUCUGUAUGGAAGGGCCAUCGCUCAACGGAUAAAAGGUACUCCGGGGAUAACAGGCUGAUACCGCCCAAGAGUUCAUAUCGACGGCGGUGUUUGGCACCUCGAUGUCGGCUCAUCACAUCCUGGGGCUGAAGCCGGUCCCAAGGGUAUGGCUGUUCGCCAUUUAAAGUGGUACGCGAGCUGGGUUUAGAACGUCGUGAGACAGUUCGGUCCCUAUCUGCCGUGGACGUUUGAGAUUUGAGAGGGGCUGCUCCUAGUACGAGAGGACCGGAGUGGACGAACCUCUGGUGUUCCGGUUGUCACGCCAGUGGCAUUGCCGGGUAGCUAUGUUCGGAAAAGAUAACCGCUGAAAGCAUCUAAGCGGGAAACUUGCCUCAAGAUGAGAUCUCACUGGAACCUUGAGUUCCCUAAAGGGCCGUCGAAGACUACGACGUUGAUAGGUUGGGUGUGUAAGCGCUGUGAGGCGUUGAGCUAACCAAUACUAAUUGCCCGUGAGGCUUGACCAUA
rnacentral:rRNA from 1 species